UACGAAGGGGGCUAGCGUUGCUCGGAAUUACUGGGCGUAAAGCGCACGUAGGCGGCUCUUUAAGUCGGAGGUGAAAUCCUGGAGCUCAACUCCAGAACUGCCUUCGAUACUGGAGAGCUUGAGUCCGGGAGAGGUGAGUGGAACUGCGAGUGUAGAGGUGAAAUUCGUAGAUAUUCGCAAGAACACCAGUGGCGAAGGCGGCUCACUGGCCCGGUACUGACGCUGAGGUGCGAAAGCGUGGGGAGCAAACAGG
rnacentral:rRNA from 1 species